UACGAGGGGGGCGAGCGUUGUUCGGAAUUAUUGGGCGUAAAGAGCUCGUAGGCGGUUCGUCGCGUCGGCUGUGAAAACCUGAGGCUCAACCUCAGGCCUGCAGUCGAUACGGGCGGACUUGAGUACUGCAGGGGAGACUGGAAUUCCUGGUGUAGCGGUGAAAUGCGCAGAUAUCAGGAGGAACACCGGUGGCGAAGGCGGGUCUCUGGGCAGUAACUGACGCUGAGGAGCGAAAGCGUGGGGAGCGAGCAGG
rnacentral:rRNA from 1 species